CCCAGUAACAAUAUUGACGAAUCACCGAGCAUUGAAGCAAUUCCAACUUCAUGGAUAACAAUGAGCGAAAAAGGGAUUAUCACUUGUAAAUGGCCUGAAAAAAAUCAUAGGAAGUACAUUUCGAAAGCUGUAGCUCCGAAGAGUACUUAGAGUACUUAUGACAUUUCGAUUCUAUUUCAAAGUGGAGACAUUUCUGUAUUUAUUGAGAGGUACCUUUCCACAAAAGCAGAUACGGACUGCUUUGGGAAAAUUGUUUUCCAAUAAAUUGGAAAAAAAAUGUUCAUGGAUGGGAAGAAGCGGAAAUUUCCAAUUGAGUAAUCUCAUUGUCAUGGAUAUUUUGAAACUCGCAGUUCGUCGACACUUUCUUGCUGUGACUGAUAAAGAAUAUAAAUAAAAGCUAUGUGUCAGAUUGGUUUCGCCAUGCGAAUACGCGUUACAAAAGAGAUGAAUAUAUAUACAGGGUGUCCGACAAUUGCUGAAUCACCUCUUGGGUGCAGGUAGAGCGGGUUAAACCGAGUA